CUGUAUGCAGGUAAAAACACUUGAGUUAACACACUUGAACUUGAGUGUCUCCACUUAAAAUGACAGAAAUUGUAUUUAUGCACUAUAUACUCAAAUAACUGACAGCUCAACAUUACUACUACUACCUGUUGAGACUCUUUCUUUUCCUACUGCUCUGACUCACACUUAAGUACCCCCCUCCCCACUCUCUCUCGCCCGAAACUCCUUUUUAUAACGGUCCUGCGUAACAUGUGAAACCCAAAUCAGUGCGCAUAUAAACAUACACAAAAGAGUCCCUGAAUACUACACUUACAUGACAAUAUUUAUCAAAACUUUUACAUUCACCCUUUCCUUGUUGAUCAUAUUUAUUUUAAUACUUGUUUUUACAGGUUUUGAGAAUUGACGAGAAGGUUCACAGCAAAAAAGGUGAUACCGAUGGAGAAAAGAGCAAGAAAAAAGCUACAAUUUAAAGAUUUUGUCCCAAAUCUUCCCACUGAUGAGGAAGGGACUUACUCGCAGGGAGCUGCAAAUAAAAAGGAUAAAUCAAAUCCUUCAUACGCAUCCUUACCGAGAACCAGCCAGCCAGAGCCACCAAAAAAAAAAAAAAAAGGCAUACGAAUUUCAGAACCAUCAGAGCUGACUCCACCACGUGAGUAAUAUUGAUGAAAUUUUUCAUCCUGUUAUAUGCAUCUAGAAGUUUUAAAAUACUCAUAUUUUAAGCAAUACUGAGUAUAGCAAAAUUUCCAGAAAAGCUGGGGUUGAAAAGGGCCUUCCCAAUGUCCACAGCCAGUAAAUAUUAGUUUUCACAAUGAGUGAUUUGUCUGUAAUGUAUACAGCAAUGUCAAUGUCAAAUUCAAAUGAAAAGGUGUGCAAAUAAAUAAAAGUUAAAUAAAAUCUCAUUUUAAA